CUCACUUGUCCUGUUUUGUUGGCGAGCUGGUGAAAAUCACACUUGGUUCCAAGGGCAUGGACAACAUCUUGAUAGUAUUGGCCGCAAUGAAGGACUUAAGUAAGUUUAAGAUUUGCCUUGUACUUGAAGGGCAUGGACAACAUUCUUGGUAGUAUUGGCCGCAAUGAAGGACAACAAGGAGGUAUGCUCACAGAUUUCUUCCUUGACACUGGGUUUCUGCUUCACAAAAAAACGAAUGAUUCUUAUUGCUAAUACACCUAUGGACACAGAUCAAAGCAAGGUAUUCGGCUCACGGAUAUCCACGUUGAUUGCGUUGCUAAAAUUGCCGAAUUCGAGUUAGCUGAAAAAGAAAAGAUGAAGGAGAAGAUUAAGCUCACUCUAAAGUACAAUUCCACCAUCUUUAUUAACAGGUUUAUUGUUUUUCUUCCUUUUCAAUAUUUAUUAUCUUAUAUUGCAUCUAAAAUUCCAGUUUUUUCUAAUGAAAUGUUUGAGUUUCUCAUACGCAUUCUUAGUUUAUUUCUUAUCCCUGUAUUCUAGAAUAAAAUUAAGAGAAUGAAAAGACAAUUAAAAAUCUCGAUGGCGCCACGAAGGGGCUUGAUCCCUGAGAGAUUUACCUUGGUAAAGAUGGAAGGCUAUGCCGUGGUUAUUGGGCCCCAAAAUGUUUAUUGUUUCCCCAGGGGUUCCAGCCGGGUUUUGAUUGGCUGAAAAUUAUUGUGCGUAAACAGGGGAGUUGUUCGUUUUCAUUUAUUUUUUAUCUGAUUCGCCGCAUUCAACUUCGUGCCAAUGGGUUGUUUCUAAAUAUGUAGGUUUGUUUGUUAAUUUUAUAUAAUUUUUUUUAUUGAAAUUCAAAUUUCGGUCGUGAAAGUCGGGUUCUGAUUGGUUGGUGGCGGGUUGGUGGAUUUAGAGACCCUCCUGUGCCGCGGGUUUUCGUUUUUUGGGUAAAAUUUUAUUUCAGUUGGAUUCUCCAUGUAAAACUGUAUGGAAUAGGG